UACAGAGGGGGCAAGCGUUAUUCGGAAUUAUUGGGCGUAAAGGGCGCGUAGGCGGCAUGGCAAGUGGAUGGUGAAAUCCCUCGGCUUAACCGAGGAACUGCCGUCCAAACUGCUUCGCUUGAGACCGGGAGAGGUGAGUGGAAUUCCCAGUGUAGCGGCGAAAUGCGUAGAUAUUGGGAGGAACACCAGUGGCGAAGGCGGCUCACUGGACCGGUACUGACGCUGAAGCGCGAAAGCGUGGGGAGCAAACGGG
rnacentral:rRNA from 1 species